GCCCGGAUGGUGGAAUCGGUAGACACAAGGGAUUUAAAAUCCCUCGGCGUUCGCGCCGUGCGGGUUCAAGUCCCGCUCCGGGUACCA
rnacentral:tRNA from 1 species